UUGCUCUCAAAUGAAAACCCAAGACGUGGACGUGAAAACAUAAUUCAAACACCAAUAUUGGUAACAACUAAUUCAGGAAAAAACACUAAUAGUAUAAAAAAUCGUGAUGAUCAUCGUGGUAAUAAUCAGUGUUCUUCGAGUCUUCAGUCAAUUACUGUACCAGCUUUUGAACAUUUAUCAAACAGGAUAGCUAUUGGAAAGACAAUGAUCCAAGCUUCACGGGUUAUAAAGUCCGUCACAAAGAGUGGAAAUGAAUUGUUUAGAGAGUCUCGACAUUGCAUUGGUGAAUCAUCAAUUCAAGCAUGCAGAAAUUCUAAUAUUGAUCCUCUUAGAGAUUAUGAAGUGAUCGAAGCCGUUGAUGAUAUCAAUUAUGAGCCAGAAGAUAUUGAAAUAUCACAUGGGUACCAUGGUCGAAAC